UUAUGCGCAAUCGCGCUUGUUCCUCCACUUGGAAGCGUGAUAGUGGAAAAGGUCUGCAUGUUGAUAUGGGCGAACAUAGCCCCAGAAUUCAAACCGCAAUGAAAAAACAAGAUGACUUUAGUUCCUCUGGCCAAGGCAAUACAUUGGAUCUCCGGAAUGAUCAAGUUGGAGAAAACAUGGAAUUGAAUGUUGGUAUGGAUACGAGGGUGGCUGAAUCCUUUCCUCGGGCAGCGGCGCAUGGCCCUAACGCGCCUCGGGCGCCAUGAAAGCAAUAGCAUGGAAUUGUCGAGGUAUGGGCCGAGACCUUGGCAAUGAUCGAAUGUUGUUCCUGGCCAAUCUGGUUCGCUCUACAAAAGCUCAGAGGGGCUUCAGGAGGGCUCUGGCUUAUGUGGAAUGACGAUCUUAAGGUUUCUGUUCGUAGUUCUUCCUUCCACUUUAUCUUAGCGGAUGUAGUUCAUCUAGCCUCGGGGGUUCACUUUUGUUUGGUUUGUAUAUAUGGUGACCCCUACCAUAGGCAGACUAGUGACAUUUGGAAUCAGAUCUCCACUUUUGUGUAUGAUAACUUUGGCAAACCCAUGAUCUGUAUGGGUGAUCUUAACGAUAUUUUGUAUGA